rnacentral:misc_RNA from 1 species
AACUUUCGACAAUGGAUCUCUUGGCUCUCGCAUCGAUGAAGAACGCAGCGAAAUGCGAUACGUAAUGCGAAUUGCAGAAUUCCAGUGAGUCAUCGAAUCUUUGAACGCACCUUGCACCCUUUGGCAUUCCGAAGGGUAUGCUCGUUUGAGUGUCAUUGUACUCUCACACUCUCAAUCUUUUGGAUCGGGAGCGGUGGACUUGGGUGUUGCUGCUUUACCGCGGCUCGCCUCAAAUGGAUUCGUGCAACUCUCGGUUGGACAUAGUACGGCGUGAUAAGUGUCUUCGCCGGCGCCCCAUUAGAGGGUGGCUGAUCGGGAGCUCUGUGCUUCAAACCGUCUUCGGACAACGACUGACAACUUGACCUCAAAUCGAGUAGGACCACCCGCUGAACUUAAGCAUAUCAAUAAGCGGAGGCU